rnacentral:tRNA from 1 species
AAGGUUUUAAGUUAAAAAAACUUUUAACCUUCAAAGUUAACUAUAAAUAUAAGUAUUUAAACCUUA